rnacentral:rRNA from 1 species
UACGUAGGGUCCAAGCGUUGUCCGGAAUUAUUGGGCGUAAAGGGCGCGUAGGCGGCUUGGCAAGUGGAAGGUGAAAUCCCUCGGCUUAACCGAGGAACUGCCCUCCAAACUGCUUCGCUUGAGACCGGGAGAGGUGAGUGGAAUUCCCAGUGUAGCGGUGAAAUGCGUAGAUAUUGGGAGGAACACCAGUGGCGAAGGCGGCUCACUGGACCGGUACUGACGCUGAUGCGCGAAAGCGUGGGGAGCAAACGGG